GAGGGUAUAGUUCAAGUGGUAGAGCGCAUGCUUUGCACGCAUGAGGUCCUAGGUUCAAUCCCCAGUACCUCCA